GGCAACAGAGUGCAGUGGUGUUUACAGCUAAUUGAUCGUAACCAGCCACAGAGUUACCUGUUCCUUCUUCACUCUCACUGUUUCACUUGACUAGCUUUAA
rnacentral:Y_RNA from 1 species